UACGUAGGGUGCAAGCGUUGUCCGGAAUUAUUGGGCGUAAAGAGCUCGUAGGCGGUCUGUCGCGUCGGCUGUGAAAACCCGAGGCUCAACCUCGGGCCUGCAGUCGAUACGGGCAAACUAGAGUACUGCAGGGGAGACUGGAAUUCCUGGUGUAGCGGUGAAAUGCGCAGAUAUCAGGAAGAACACCGAUGGCGAAGGCAGUUCUCUGGGACGGUACUGACGCUGAGACGCGAAAGCGUGGGGAGCGAACAGG
rnacentral:rRNA from 1 species